UCCGGUUUGUCACCGGCAGUCCCAUUAAAGUGCCCACCCGAAGUGUGGCAACUAAUGGCAAGGGUUGCGCUCGUUGCGGGACUUAACCCAACAUCUCACGACACGAGCUGACGACAGCCAUGCAGCACCUGUGUUCCGGCUCCCUUUCGGGCACCCCCGCCUCUCGGCAGGGUUCCGGACAUGUCAAGGGUAGGUAAGGUUUUUCGCGUUGCAUCGAAUUAAUCCACAUAAUCCACCGCUUGUGCGGGUCCCCGUCAAUUCCUUUGAGUUUUAACCUUGCGGCCGUACUCCCCAGGCGGUCGACUUCACGCGUUAGCUUCGUUACUAAGGAAGUUUCCUUCCCCAACAACCAGUCGACAUCGUUUAGGGCGUGGACUAC
rnacentral:misc_RNA from 1 species